GACGAACGCUGGCGGCGUGCCUAAUACAUGCAAGUAGGACGGAGUUGCGAACGGGAGAGUACCGCGUAGGUAACUGGCUAUUAGCGGGGGAUAACUAUUGGAAACGAUAGCUAAUACCGCAUACUAGUAGAUGGACCUGCGUUGUAUUAGCUAGUAGGUAGGGUAAUGGCCUCCCAAGGCGACGAUACAUAGACGAGCUUGGAGGGUGAACGACCACACUUGGACUGGAACACGGCCCAGAACCCUAAGGGAGGCAGCAGUAGGGAAACUUCGGAAAUGGGGGGAAACCUGACCGAGCACCGGCGGGGGGUGGGAGAAGGUUUUCGGAUCUUAAAGCUCUGUUGUGAAGGGAGCGGUACUUAACCAGAAAGGGACGGCUAACUACGUGCCAGCAGCCGCGGUAAUAC
rnacentral:rRNA from 1 species